GAGCUGCCCCUGUGAGUGACCCCUCCUGAGCUGUCCCUGUGAGUGACCCCUCUGGAGCUGUCCCUGUGAGUGACCCCUCCAGACCUGUCCCUGUGAGUGACCCCUCUGGAGCUGUCCCUGUGAGUGACCCCUCCUGAGCUGUCCCUGUGAGUGACCCCUCCGGAACUGCCCCUGUGAGUGACCCCUCCUGAGCUGUCCCUGUGAGUGACCCCUCCGGAGCUGCCCCUGUGAGUGACCCCUCCUGAGCUGUCCCUGUGAGUGACCCCUCUGGAGCUGUCCCUGUGAGUGACCCCUCCGGAGCUGUCCCUGUGAGUGACCCCUCCGGAGCUGUCCCUGUGAGUGACCCCUCUGGAGCUGUCCCUGUGAGUGACCCCUCCGGAGCUGUCCCUGUGAGUGACCCCUCCGGAGCUCCCAGGUGAGUGACAACUCCAGAGCUCCAAGGUGCGACCCACCCUGGAGCUCCCAGGGUGAGUGACCCCAAAGUGAGUGACCCCUCUGGAGCUCCCAGGAGAGUGACAACUCCGGAGCUCCAAAGUGAGUGACCCCAAGGUGAGUGACCCCUCUGGAGCUCCAAGGUGAGUGACAACUCCGGAGCUCCAAGGUGAGUGACCCCUCCAGAGCUCCCAGGUGAGUGACCAGCUCCAGAGCUCCCAGGUGAGUGACCCCAAGGUGAGUGACCCCUCCGGAGCUGUCCCUGUGUGCACACCCUGCCCCAAAUCCUCUCCCUCCCAGCCACCAGCAGGGUCCCCCGUUCAUCUCUCGGCUUUGAAGCUGCUGUGCUGUUUCCUUCCCCCCGUUUGGAUGUCAGGAAUUGGAGCAGCCUUGAGUGGGAAUUGGCAGAGGGGGUCGGAGCUGGACGGGCCAGCUCAGCUGUGUCACGGCCAUUCCGUUUCUUCUCCCUUUGGCUGCAAAUCCCCAACCCCGGCCAGGCCAAACGCGGGGCAGUAAAAACGCAGGGCAGGCUCUGGGAGGCGGCUCCGCUCUCUCUGCCCCGGGUGCGAGCGAGCACAGAGGGAAGGGAUCUUCCCCUCAAGUUUUGUCCCGGCCCGCUGCUGCCCGCUGCCUCUGCAAGGAGAGAAACCCACCUCCUUCUGGAGAGGCUGGUCUGGACUAAAAGAGUCUGGACUAAAAAAGUCCGGAAUAAAAAAGUCGUAGCAGCAUUUAGGGGCUGAUGGAUGCUGCAGGUUUUUAGCUCCUUAAAAAGAGUGGGAAGAGGAGGAAGAACUGGAUUUUCUGAUCCCGCAGACAAACCCACCUCGUUCUCCAGAGGUUGAUCCGGGACUAAAAAACUCCAGGAAUAAAAAGGUCGUGGCAGCAUUUAUGGGCUGAUGGAUGCUGCUGAUUUUUAGCUCCUUAAAAAGAGUGGGGAGAGGGGGAAGAGGAGGAGGAAGAACUGGAUUUUCUGACCCUGCUGACAAACCCACCUCGUUCUUGAGACGUUGGCUCUGGACUAAAAAAGUCCGGGAAUAAAAAAGUUGUGCCAGUAUUUAGGGGUUGAUGGAUGCUGCAGGUUUUUAGCUCCUUAAAAAGAGAGGAGGAGGAGGAGGAGGAGGAGGAGGAGGAAGAAGAAGAAUUGGCUCUUCUGAUGCCGCUUCCCAGCACUUGGCUCCCCUGGCAAGAGCUGCCGGAGACCGGAAGGCAAACCCAGCGUGUGGAUUCCUCCUCCCCCUCUCCCCUCAUUUGUCCUCCUUACAUAAAUCCUGACUGUGGGAAAAUGGGAUUGCAGCCCGCAGGGAAGGCUGAGCAGGGGCGGCUCCGCCAGUCCUGAGCUCCUCUCUCCUCUGCCCUGCCUUGCUGGGGGGGCCAGGGCCGCAAUUCCAGCGGCUGUCCCAGGAUUUGGGGAUCUGGAGGGAUUGCUGAGCUCCCUGUGUGAUGUUUGGUGGGAACACCUCACAGGAUUUGGGGAUCUGGAGGGAUUGCUGAGCUCCCAUGAGAGGUUUGGUGGGAACACCUCACAGGAUUUGGGGAUCUGGAGGGAUUGCUGAGCUCCCAUGAGAGGUUUGCUGGGAACACCUCACAGGAUUUGGGGAUCUGGAGGGAUUGCUGAGCUCCCAUGUGAGGUUUGCUGGGAACACCUCACAGGAUUUGGGGAUCUGGAGGGAUUGCUGAGCUCCCAUGAGAGGUUUGCUGGGAACACCUCACAGGAUUUGGGGAUCUGGAGGGAUUGCUGAGCUCCCUGUGUGGGGUUUGGUGGGAACACCUCACAUGGAUUUGGGGAUCUGGAGGGAUUGCUGAGCUCCCUGUGUGAGGUUUGCUGGGAACACCUCACAGGAUUUGGGGAUCUGGAGGGAUU